GACGAACGCUGGCGGCGUGCCUAAUACAUGCAAGUCGAACGAACCGCGACUAGGUGCUUGCACUUGGUCAAGGUGAGUGGCGAACGGGUGAGUAACACGUGGGUAACCUACCUCAUAGUGGGGGAUAACAGUCGGAAACGACUGCUAAUACCGCAUAGGACAUAGGAUCACAUGAUCCAGUGAGGAAAGGUGGCGCAAGCUAUCGCUAAGAGAUGGACCCGCGGUGCAUUAGCUAGUUGGUAGGGUAAAGGCCUACCAAGGCGAUGAUGCAUAGCCGACAUGAGAGGGUGAUCGGCCACAUUGGGACUGAGACACGGCCCAAACUCCUACGGGAGGCAGCAGUAGGGAAUCUUCCGCAAUGGACGCAAGUCUGACGGAGCAACGCCGCGUGAGUGAAGAAGGUCUUCGGAUCGUAAAGCUCUGUUGUUAGAGAAGAACAGCGCAUAGAGUAACUGUUAUGCGUGUGACGGUAUCUAACCAGAAAGCCACGGCUAACUACGUG
rnacentral:rRNA from 1 species